AUCCUCCGUGGCGCAAUUGGCUAGCGCGUCUGACUGUUAAUCAGGAGGUUCGUGGUUCGAGCCCACGCGGGGGAGUC
rnacentral:tRNA from 1 species